UGUCAUCAUCACUGCAAAGCAGGCAACAAGCAGUCAUUAAGCUCAUGCUGAUUCUGAUGCUGAUGGUGAAUGAGAAGCAGCACUGCAGAAAACCACCUCAUGCCUAGCAUCCCAGGGCCACAGGUGCUGUGUGUUAGAUUGAGUGUUCACUUGUCCAGUGUGAAUGUAUUUUUGUUAAGAGUUAUUGGCCUUUGAGUUUCUGGUGACCAGAUGCUUCUUUCUAAACACACACACACACACACACACACACACACGUGGAAGACUGUUGGAGAAACCCAAAUGGUGUCAUAGGAGGCAGGUGUGAGAAGACACUUUGGUUGCACAACCAGGUAUGAUUCUGCCAGAGCAGAAGACCCUAUAUGGUUCUCUUUUCUGCCCCAGCACUGCCUCAUUAUGGCUAUGAUAGGUUUAUUGAAGCUAAAGUUUGGGCAUUCUGGGGCAGCCUUUGCCCCACACCCACACGAGUCUUUUUCAUUUUUCGGUUGCCACUGAAGUCUGGAAAUAGCACUCUGCCUUUUCCUCUGGCCCCAUAGAAACCGGGACUUCUGGGUGUUUAACUUAGCAUCUGACUCCAUUAGAUGCUCAGGGUCUCCUGCACUUACACCUAGGGAUAGGAAAAAGGGGUGUUCUGGGGAGAGUAGGGGGAGCAGUUUGCCCUCUAUUUGGUGGCUUUCCUUGUACAGUGGAGAGAGCAGCCAGAACCUGAAGUGACAACUGAGACAUCGUCAUCUGACGUAGAGUCUCUCUUCCCUCCCUGACCUCGUUGGUGUGCCACCUCUCCCUCCCUCCCAUUUCCAACAGCAUGCUUAGGAAUGAGUUAUGAAGUGUCUUAUUGGAAACCAAGACCUCAAUGGCAAUGAAGGGAAGACACUAUAGUUAGUUAUUAUUGAUCAUCUCUACCUGCACUUUCUAUAUUUGCAAGCACUUUUUGGGACUUAGUGAGUAAUAAAUAAAGUGUCUCUAGAUCACCUUGCUGCUUCCCACUGCUGCUGCCUCGUGCAUCCAGUUCUAGUUGUGUACCUCCUGGAUACACACACUAAGGAGGUGAGACCUUCAAAAGAAAUGCAAAAUAUUUCCACAAUUGUGUUUGUGUACAAACUGACCUGUCAAAACCAAAACUAUAUUUAGGUACUAGAUUAUAAUCAACACCCCCAGUGGAUGCUAUUGGUGCCUUGCCCAGGGCCCCUUUACCAGGCGGAUGCACUCAUCUCCCAGCUUUGAGUAUUGCUCACCGCAGCCACCUGCUUCCUGAAGAAUUGCCCUUGCAGAGC
rnacentral:lncRNA from 1 species